AGGAAGCAAGUCUGUGCAAUAUUCUGCUGUAGUGUGGUGUGAGAAGAAUGGGUAUCCCUUAUCCAAGGAGAGCCUAGGCUUUCAGAGAGGCAAUAGAAGAGAAAUUAAUCCACUGAAAAACUGAGCAUGCUGUUCCUCCACCUGCAAGACAACAUCACCAGUUUUAUGUUUGGAGAACAAUACUUUGCCUGGAAAAAGACUCUGAUUGUGGCAAUGAGUCCUUCAUGCUGAGGAGAGAGGCGAGCCGCCUACAUGUGGUGGAGAGUCUGGGGAGGCGAUCGGUCCCUGGACCUGUGGGGAAACUGAGGCAGCAACUAGCCAAAAGCCAGACCAGGGCCAUGUCAAAUGGAAACAUCAACGUAUUGUCAAGGUGUCCAACCUUUCACAUUACUGCUAGUUAUAUAGACACAUCUUUGCUGAGAUGUUUACUGCUGGGGACUGUUUUCAAGCUUGAAGCUGAAGAAGAGACCUGGAUGCCAGACAUUGAUGGUCCUGACCAAUGUGAAGAUUCUCAGGGCCUCACAGGAUUGGGCCCUGUGUCUUGACUACAGCUGGAUACUGGGAAAGGUGUAAUUGGCCUAACUCUGUUCCCACUGAAGCCAAUAGCAAUGCUUUCAAUUGAGUGACAGAAUUUCAAUAAAGGGCUAACCCAUCAGUGAAACCACAAGGAAAAAAGCUUAAAGUAAAUACAGAGACUGAGUUCUGCCCUGACUGAUACCUUUGCACACCAGAAGUCACAUUUCCCAUUUGAUCAGAAAGCUAAUCUUUGAUCCCUCCCCAGUUGGAAGGAAAUGACCAUGUGCAAAGUCAUAUACUUUGUUCCCCAACAAAUUUUCAGGGGGGAGGAAAAGGACAUUUCUUCAUACAGUUAGUGUAUCUGUGCUGGUUUGUAUGCAAUAGGCAAUGCCAGGAACUGGAACCUUACCCCAAAACCUUUUUUGUACAAGUUUUCCAAAAGCUUUUUUUUGUUGUUGCUGUGUCUUUGCGCAGCUAGAGGUCAUCCAGUGGAAGAAGUGAGGGAGCCUUUAGCUGCAGCUUAUCUGACUCGGAAAUCUGAUGGAAGAAUCUGUUCUAGUGAGACUUCCAGAAUGAGUUGCAUAAACUUCAGCAAAGUGUUCAGACUGCUGUGUGCUGCUGUACUAAAUUAUCCCAGUUCCCCUGAAACUUCGAAGAUCUGUGAUAAUCUGUUUGUGUCAGGCAUUCAUCCCAGAAGAGACAGUGUGUUCCUAGCCUCAGUAUGUAGAAUGGUAAUACUCAGUCUCUGGCCCAAU